GGAAGGGAGCUUCCGCCUCCUCUGCCCACGUGGGAGUUAGGAACGGCUGCACUGGCGCACGUGGCGGCUGCGGCGGGAAGCAGCGGGCUGGGUGCUGGUGGCGAAGUGGCGCUGCUCGGCGGGGCGCGGUUCGGGGCGGAGCAGUGGCCGGAGCCGGGCGGCGGUGCAGGGGCCGGGCGCGCUGAGCCCCUUUCCCCGCUGCCCGCGGCUGCCGGGCUGGGCCGGGGGCAGGAGGCGCGGCGGGGCUCGCGCAGGCCCGCUCCGCUCCCGGGGCCGUGCUGCAGCCUGCCGCUCUGGAGGGCCCUCAGCGGGGCCCUGGCCCUGGCCCUGGCCCUGGCCGUGGUGGCGCUCCUGGCCGCGUGGCCCUGGCGGGUGGCUGGAACAUGCUGGGCUCUUGAUGUGUCAGAAAAAUGUGCAACCUGCCCAGAAGACUGGAUCAGGUUGGAUAGCAACAUGACUGGAGGACGAUGUUACUAUUUUUCUAGUGAAUCUAAGGUUUGGGGUACCAGUAGGGACAUCUGUGGCUCACAUAAUGCCACUCUGGCUAUGAUAAAGGAGCCGCUAGUCCUGAUUGAACUCCGGUUGAUUAUACAUCAACAUUUCAUUUGUCAAGGGACUCGUGGUGGUGUGACUUGUCCCCCAAUGGAGAAGUUGCGAGAUUGGCAUGUCUACCUGUCGCCCUUCAAAACAGGUUUAAAGAGUGGCUGAAUGCACCAUUGCUCUUCCACCAGUAGUAGCUAAAACACCAUACAUCCCAACAUGUCUGGUGCUAAACAAGUGUCCAUAAGUUCCCCUGACUCUCAGCUCUGAGAAAAGCACCCAUUGGUUGUUCAAGUUGUGGAUGGGUGACAGAAUUUGCAUUGAAGGGAUUUUGGUGUGAUUUGCUGCACAGCUCAGGCUCUUAAGUGCCUGCCUGAAUUUUCACUACAUUUGUGUUGCCACCACUGACUUGGACCUGGAGUUUCCACCGCCAACAGCUGCCAUAUAUGCAUACAUGGUUGUCACCUUGCAGACCUUCUGGCCUAAUGUGAACUUGUGCGGGAGAUUGCUUUUUCCACUCAAUGUCAGCAAAUCAUGAUGGAUGCCAUGACUUCUUUUAUCAAUGCCAAUAACAGUGGAGCCAUAUUUGUGGGGAAAAGCCUCAUGUAUAUCUUCGUUGCCAGUGAAUGGAGGAUUCAUGGCUACAUCCAGAUUCUAGUCUGACAGCAGCUGCUGCCCUGAAGAUGUUUUGGCUGCAGGUUAACAUGUUGUUGUCAGGCCCAUGAGGGAGUGAUUCCAAACUGCAGAAUGACAUUUCUGGGCCAGGGGUAUAAGCAGCAGCUGGUGGGAAUGAAUCCUCAUGGCCACUUGAGACAACAAGCAGUGGACUUCCAUGUGUCCAAGAACACCUUCAUGGAGAUUCGUGCUGACCUUGUCUUACACAUGCAGUAAUAGACAGAGAAUCUCAUUGGAAAACGAAGGCCCAAGCCUGGAUUGUGCCUACCUAAACGCAGAGAAAUUGGUUGCUGUUGAAUGUACAUCUGUAAGGCACUGGAUCUGUGUCAAAGAGCUGUACUGAGCCUCUUCCAUUUUCUUUGAACGACUUAGCAAGAAACAUAAUGUAAACUUGCUCAUGAAGUUCCUUGCAUCCUGCUGCUAUAGAAAAUGUUGUUGAUUUCAGAGAAAUGUUGUGGAUGGAGUUGUUCUGAGCCAUGGAGGCUAAGUACUGCAUGUGCAGGUUUGUUGCAGGAUACCUGGGUGGCCUGAGGCUGAUGUACCUUGCCUGUUGUGACUUAGUUCUUAUGGACCUCCACACAUUUUUGUUUCUAGAUCAAUGGUUCUCAAACUCAUUAAAUGACUCAAGGCACCACUUGGAAAAUGCCAGCUCUUAGCCCCCUCUUAUUUUUGGUGCAUCCCCUUCCCUGCGAAACAAGUUAUUCCCACUCGGGGUGGGCAGCUCCGUCUACAGCCUGUGACCCAGGGCCAAAUUUGGAGCUGAGCAGCAGCCUGCCUCUAGGUUGGAAGUAGAAUGCAAGAUGUCUCCCUCCUUGCUGCCUCCCCCCCACACACACACACUGAUGGGGGUGGGGGAGGAGGGCAGGCAGGAGGACAGACUUCAUCUUGGAUUCAAGUGAAUAAGGUGUUUCCCAGUAUGCUUCCUUGGUGACCUGUCCAGUGUCUGUAUGCUUUCUUUUUGCAUUUGAGGCAUCCUAGAAGCUCCUUGCGUAGCCACAUUUGUCUCGUACCAUUCUUUUUACACUUUAAUUUUGUCGGAACAGUUUCUUGUUAGGCUUCCAGUACUGUGCCCUUUAGAAGCUUCCAGCCCUCCUUGCACCUAUAUCCUUCAUUCUUUGUUUCUAUGGCACCAUGCUUGUUAACCGCUUGAAUUAACUGAAGUGUACUUUUUUUUUAAAUCCAAUGUCCUAGUUCUGCUGACCAAGCUUCCCCAUCUCAGGAUCUUUAAUUCUAUCAUACCGUGAUCACUUCCACCCAAGUUUUCCAUCACCUUCAAAUUUUCGACCAGUUUUCUUCGUCGGGACAAGAUCCAAAAUAGAUGAUCCCCUAGUUGUUUCUGGAACAGAAAAGUUCCCUCUACACAAACUAGAAAGCUGCUUGACAUUUUAUGUUUGGCUAUAUUAAUCCAGCAGAUGUCUGGAAAAUUGAAGUCUCCCAUCAGUACCAUUUCAUAACUUUUGAAUAAUUCUCACAUCGUCAACAGUACCUCAUCCACUUCUUCCUGAUUUGGUGGAUUAUAUCUGUAAUAUAUCUCACUGUUAUAUUAUUGCUGUACCUUUUAUCUUCUCCCAAAUACAGUUUGAUCUACCUUCAUUUUGAGCCAGGGAACAGGCCUAUCUAUUUUUGACAUACAAGGUGUGGAAGAAAUCAAACUUCGCGUUGUGGUUGUAUUAGAAUUGGCAGAGCCAUCUAGGUUUAUUUAAAGCUAUACAAGUGAUCACAAGGAAGGUUCUCAAAGGAACUCUGACCUCUACAAGUUUACAAGUGUAUUUAUACUUUAGACAGCGAGAAAAGAUGCAGGGUUCAGACAAAGCAACCUUGAGAGAAACAGAAAGCUGUUGAUCAUUCGUUUGUCCACGCGUAAGCUGUUACUUUUUCAGCAAACACGUUGUGUUUUGGGAACAGCUAUCAGUGUUGUGGUUGGUUUUUGGGUUUUUUUGGUUCCUGGAAAGGAGGAGGUUAACAUUUGCACACAGACAAAACAAGGCAUGAAGGUUUUUCCUUACCGUAGAACACUUUAAAACACAUAGCAUCAGCAUCUUUUUCAGGAACUAGGUAGAGCCCUUCUUCCUUUCCCGAAGGGCAUAGUGGUGUCGUUGGGGUACAUUUUUUCCGUUCUGUAGUGGUAAAUCCUCUUUGCUCUGUAGUGACAAAUCCUCUUCGCCAGUAGGCGCUUGGCUCACUACUGGUCUUGAGCUAUCUUGUUGGCAGGUGCUAAGCUCACUACCAGUCUCUGGAGGCUGAUUAGAAGGUUGAUAUAGAGGAGACUCUAAGUCUAACGGGGCUGAUGUUUUCUUAGGGUGUGAAGCAUGGAUCCAUGUUUGGAGUCCUUGACACUUUAUUGCAGUGUUGGUUGUCAGGAGUAGCUGGAAUGGGCCUUUCCAGCGAUGACUUCUGUUGAUGGACUUUUACAUAAACCCAGUCACCAGACAGGAUGGAAUGGCAUGGCUCAUCUGGUUCCUUGGGGAGAGUUGCUUGUACCUGUGAAUGAAAAGCCUUAACACAAUUCAUUAGUGCCGUACAGUAGUCAAGAAUAGUAUCAUCAAGUAAAUGCAUAUUGCAAAAGUGGGAGGCAACAGGUGGUGAGGCGGGGAUCCUCAUGGGUCUUCCUAUCAGGAUUUCAUGUGGGCUAAGUCCGGUCUUUCGAUUGACAGUAGAUCUCAUACUCAUAAGGGCUAUGGGAAGUGCAUCUGGCCAUUUUGAGUGAGUUUCAGCACAAAUUUUGGCCAGUUUAUUUUUUUUUAAAUGACAUUUUGGCCUGUGGAUGGUACGGGCAAUGAAAGUCCUGCAAAUCCAGCAAAACUUUGCAGACUUCUUUCAUUACUUGCCCAGUAAAAUGAGUUCCUCCAUCGGAGUUUAUGGAUAAAGGGAUACUAAACCUUGGAAUAAAGUCUCCGAGCAACUUUUUGCUCACAGUGAUGGUAUCAGCUUUUGCACAUGGGUAGGCUUCUACCCAUCCAGAGAACAUACAUACAAUAACAAGAACAUAUUCAUAAGAACAACAUUUCUGCAUUUGAAUAAAAUCUAUUUGUAAAUUUACAAACGGCCCCCAAGGUGGGGGAUGUGCUGCUUUUUUUUUGUUUUUACAGGCUUUCCUACAUUAUGGGCUUGACAAAUAGGGCAGGUAUAACAGUAUUGUUGAACCACAGAUGAAAAAGUUUGGAGCAAAUCAAUUAAGCUUAACAGCUUCUAUCAUCCUCCCUUUGCUCACGUGUGCUAUGCUGUGGUGUAUGCAAGCAAGAUAGGGAAGAAGGACCGUUGGGGCAACCAGGUGGCCAUCCGGGGAACGGCACAAAUGGUCAGGGUGUAACAAACACCCAGCCAGUCUCCACAUAUUUUUCUGGUUCUGGAGCCUGAUCUUGGAGGAGGGCAAUGUCAUGAAGACUUGCCAAUGGAGACUGGUUAGUUGAGAUAGACAAAAACACAGGUGUAGCCUGAGGAGUGGAAAUAGCCACAGCUUUGGCAGCGGAGUCUGCCAGAGCAUUCCCACGUGUAACAUCAUCAUACGGUUUCUGGUGAGCUUGGCAUUUAAUAAUAGCAACAGCAGGAGGUAACUAAAGCAUUUAACAAGGCAUUUACAUAUGGACCCUUACUAAUUUUGGCACCUCCUGACGUGACGAAGCCUCUUUGCUUCCAAAGUUGACCAUAACCGUGUACAAUACCAAAGGCAUAGCGAGAAUCAGUGUAAAUAUUAACGGGUACCAUAGGCUAGGGUGCAAGCCCUGGUAAGGGCCACAAGCUCAGCAGCUUGAGCUGAAUACACAUUGGGCAAGUGAUGGCUUUAUAUAACAUCAUAUUGGGAACAUACUGCAUAUCCUGCAACAAGAGAACCUUUUCAGUUUCUUUGACAUGAUCCAUCAACAUAAAAUACUAGAUUUGGGUUUUGUUUCUAGUGGGUUAUGGAAUAGAGAAAAUCUCACACAAGUUACUGAUUCACAAUUCAUACAGCACAAUUUUAUUUUAAAAUUCUUUGCUACACAUAUAACACUGCUUAGCUUUAAGAAAUACCACAAACAUUAAGAACACAAUAACUACAUAUAUCAGAAACAAUGCUCCAAAUGUACUUCCUUCUCAAACAAUGCUAUAAGAAUUAGUAUUACAAAACAACUACAAUUACAACUCAAAGUUAAAUUUGAAUCAAUACUAUUAUUUUCAUAAUACACUUACAAUCCUAGAAUUCCGAGAAGCCAAACACCUAAAUAUGCUUUCAUUCCUCAGUAGUACAAUUUAAUGGGUUGGCCUCAGUAGUACGGCUCAAUGGGCUCGCCUCAGCAAUACGAUUCAAUGGGCUGGCCUCAAUACUGAUAGGACUAAGUCCCCUUCAGUCCCUUUCGGGUGCUCCGCGGCUUCAGCAUGAACUAAGAGAUUUGUGUUCACGGAGAGAGUGGUUCAGGUGAUCAGUCUGAUCCGGCCUACGCUUGCGAUUCUUCCUUUGUUGUUCUGCAAGUGAGGUUACCUCCAAAUUGGAACAGUAGGUUACAGUUUUUAUUGAGUGAGUUGCCGUCUUGGGCCCCUUCUACCCAAACCUGUCGCUGCUCCCAAAUUUGGGCUCAGAUCUUACUUAACAGAUUCUUUUGCUUGGUAAUUAGUUUUUUUUGUUGAUCAUUUUAAUUACUUUGAGGAAUUUCCUUUCUUUCCAGUCUUUUCAAAGGCUCCUAGGGUUUGAUUUCUCGGAAUGUGGGAUGUUUGCUUAAGGGUCAUUUUUAUGUUAACCGUUAAAGGCCUCUAAAGAUAAAAUUCAAAAGUUAAGACUUUGAGGAAAGUCAGGACCUUCCACACGUAGACCAAAACAAUGGCCUAGAUAAGAUGAAUCUUGUCUUCUUCCUAAACUGGCUAAUGGGCAACUAUUAUAAACAUUCAAAUAUUACAUUCAAUAUGACAGGUUUUGCAAGGGGAUGUCCUUUAGAUCAGUGCAGGGCAUUGUUAGGUGGGCAGUAACAGCAAUACAAUCAUGGGGUUUACCAUCUGAAGGAGUAGGCUUGACUAUAGAGGCAUAGCCAAGUAUCCACUGGCAGCAGUAGCCAGCCAUGCCUAGGAAAGUACGCAUUUGGGAUACAGUAGUUAGUCUAGGGGUUUUAAGAAUAGUUUCUAUCCUGGAAGAAGAAAGCAGUCGUUCUCCAGCCGAAAUAUCAUGACCCAAAUAGUGGACACGAGGGAGACAAAGUUGUAGAUUUCUUUAGAUGCCUUAUGGCCUUUUAGGGCAAGAGAGGUGAGGAGAGUUAAAGCCUGUAAAGCUGAUUCUUUAAGGGAGGUAGAUGCCAAGAGCAGAUCAUCAACAUACUGCACAAGCACAGAAUUUUCUUUAAAUAUGAUGUCAUCUAAAUCCUCCAGAAGUUGAGAAAAAAGAGAAGGGGAUUCAGUAUAGCCUUGGGGCAAUUGAGUCCAGGUAUACUGAAGUCCCUGAUAGGUGAAUGCAAAGAGAAACUGGCUAUCAAGGUGUAUAGGGAUAGAGAAAAAUGCAGAACACAAGUCAACAACAGUAAAAAUAACAGGCAUUAGGAGGAGUACAGGACAAGAUAGUGGCUGGAUUUAAUCUAAUUUUUACAAGCUGGGCAGUAUGGAUUUGCCCUACUUAAUUAGCAUGUUGAGACCAGAGAAACAGAGGGACAGCCUUUAUGAUUUCCUCUUGUAACACAGAAAGAUUAGGGGACUCAGGCGGUGAGCUAGCUAGGGUAGCAAGCACAGCCAUUUCAUUAACACAGGGAACAUCUAAAUAAACACCAUUUGGAGAACAAUAAAUAGUACAGCUGAGCUUACAAAGCAAAUCUCUGCCCAACAAAUGAACAGGAGAACAAGGACUGAGCAGAAAAGCAUGUUGAACAGAAGCAGGGCUAAAAGAAACAUGUAAGGGUUGGGAAACAGGAUGAGGACUAUCUGAUUUGAAAUUCCUACAGCGUUUACAACAGCAGAGGAGAGGGGAGUUGUAGAAAAUUCUUCAGCUCGGAGAGUAGAGCGACUUGUGCUGGUAUCUACUAAACAUUUUGUAGGAGUGCCACUUAUUAAACAGGAAACAAAGGGAUCCUCUUGAUUAAGUGAGAGAAGCGGGACUGUGAUGAUGUUAUCAUUCCUCAGGCUGUUCUUAACAGGAAGCUUCUUGGUUCGGGACAGAAAAUUGAGUGAGAGGAGGUGGUGGCUGGUUAAAUGUCAUCCCUGGCUGGCCAGGCCGGUGAGGACAUGGAGCCUUCCAGUGUCCUGGUUGGCCACAAUAAUAACAACUGUCAUUAUUUUGGGACUGAAAUUCUCGUCCCAUCCCACGACCAUGUCCCCUGCCUCUGAAUUGUCCUCGACAGAAACCUCGGCUUCUACCUCUGCCUAAAGUCUGUAUUUGUAAAGACAUUAGCUUAGUUUCUGUGGAUUCCUUUUUCUUGGCAGGCUGUACAGUGAUUAGCAACGGUGACUAUUUCUGUAAGCGUCUUAGUCUGCCCACCUACAGCAAUUGUACGUAGAUGUUCCUGGACUUUAGAAAGAAGUCCUUGGACAAAAGCGGCGGCAACUGCUUCUGGGGCAGUUUCAGCUUCAUCUUCAAUGCUAGAAUGUCUUUCAAAUAUGAGUUUCAAGCGAUCCAUGUAGUCUGCUGGGGAUUCUUCUCUGUUUUGCUUACAGUUAUUUAUUUUGGCCCAGUCAGUUUUCCUGGGGUAGAUUUUAAGCACGGACUCAAGAAGGCAUUCUCGGGCACUUACUAAGCGACCUCCCAUUCCGGGGUCUUGAGAAGGCCAAUUAGACUGUGCAAUGAGGUGGUUACGGACCUCAGAGGGCAGAACAUUUCUCAUUAAUUGGUUUAAAUCUGCCCAUGUUGGUUCAUAACAAUUGAUUACAGUUUCCAAUUCCUCUCUAAACUUCUGGGGUUCUUCCCUGAUAUUGGGGAAUUGCUUAACAGGGUUUAGGAGAUCUCCUGGGACUGGUAUGGGGGUAGCACACUAAAAAAUCAAUUAUGUCUUCUACAGAUUCAUUCUCAGUCAAUUGUGGAUAAAGUUGUGUUGGUGCUGAUAAUGUUGUUGAUGGGGGAUCCCCUAUUGGUGCAUUUUUCUGUUUUAUUUCCUUUAUCUGAGAUUUUAGUUUUUCUUGGGAGUCCUUAAGGCUCUGAACUUGAGAUUCUUGACGUCUUUUGGAAGCUUCUGUAUACUAAUCAAAAAAUGUUUCCCACUGAGUCUGGUGUUUUACUGCCUCUUGACUCAAAGGCUCCGCGGAGAUGAAAGAUUACUUAAAUCAAAUGUUCCCUCCAGGGGAAACUGCAAGCUAGAAUCAUCUCUGGUAUACCCAUUCCAUUUGUCUAGAAACGUACAACUUUUAUGGCCAUAGUGUGUGUACAUGUACAAUGCUGGAGUCCCUUUUUGCGGAGCGGGUACGUCUUUAGACCCUCCGCUCCCCAUGUCUUUAACUUCAAUUCACACAGGUCUUUCACACAGGAGAGAGGCUUAUUGAGGGUGUCCGGUCAGGUUGUGAGAUUUGCUAGUUGCACAGGAAUGCUGUGGCUAAUGUCUAUAGCACCGGCACACAGCACAGUAACUCGCUGUUAGACACAGCUCAUUCAUGAGAGUGGGGGUAGGGAAAAUUCGUCACACAACCCUGAUCUCCUUCAGUUGAAGAGUUUCCACCUUGCACCCUUGCUUUCGAAGAGCACACAGAACAAGUACAGCCGCCCCGAGGACGCCAAACAAGGUUUCCACUCCUAGCUUCAGAAAGACCUCAUAGUUCUUUACAGAACUUAAUUCACCCGGGGAAACACAUUCAUUGACAACAGCAACACAGUUUCAAACUCUUUUCUACUCACAGUUCCUACUUACAUAGCGGGUCUGACAAUUCUGGCAGCAAAAGGGUUGGGUAGGGUAAGCCUCAAGCAGUGAACAGGAAGACACACACAGGCAGUCUCUCACUGAAAAGCCCCAACAGAGAUUUCAAAAGGUCUCUUACCUUAGUUUGGCACUGGGGCAUCAGUGAGGAGAUGGUCUGUAUCUCAACUGAUCACUACAGGCAUCUCUAUCCGAGUCAUGGCACCAAAUUGUGAAAGAAAUCAAACUUUGCGUUGUGGUUGUAUUAGAAUUGGCAGAGCCAUCUAGGUUUAUUUAAAGCUAUACAAGUGAUCACAAGGAGAGUUCUCAAAGGAACUCUGACCUCUACAAGUUUACAAGUGUAUUUAUACUUCAGACAGUGAGAAAAGAUGCAGGGUUCAGACAAAGCAACCUUGAGAGAAACAGAAAGAUGUUGAUCAUUCAUUUGUCACACGUAAGCUGUUUACUUUUUCAACAAACACGUUGUGUUUUGGGAACAGCUAUCAGUGUUGUGUUUUCUUUUUGUUUUUGGGUCCUGGAAAGGAGGAGGUUAACAGCUGCACACAGACAAAACAAGGCAUGAAGGUUUUUCCUUAUCUUAGAACAUUUUAAAACACAUAGCAUCAGCAUCUUUUUCUCUUCUUUUUCUCUCUCUUAGUCAAGUAAGAGGCCUGGUUAAACUUAUUUCCACAAAGGCAAUGCCACCACCUUUUCUCUGAACCCUGUCCUUUUAGGGCUCUGCGAAAUUUCACCGGGUGUUUCAUUUUGACAUUAUUUCGACUCGUUUCAAGCUCAAAACAGUGAAAUUGAAAUUAAAUGAAAGACUUAGAAACAAAAUGAGGACACUCAAAACAUUUUGAAAGUUUUGAGUUGCAAAGCUGGGCUUGCUUGCAGGGAAACAAAGUAAGGAGAGGGAGGGGGUAGAGUGGAGGAGGACUGCUCUGAUGUUGUCGUGUAGCUGGCCAGAGACUGUGAUCCUUCCCUGAGGUCCCUUCCAAUCCCAGUGCUCUGGGGUAGGCAUGGAAAAACAGCUGUACUUUAACACACACACACACACACACACACACAGUCAUACAUGUCACGAGUUUUGCUCGUCAGCAGCUUCAGGUUCAGUUUUCCAGAAACCCCUGUAUCUAUCGCCUUGGAAGUUGGCAGGCAUCAUGGCCUGCCCCUUUUGUGAAGGGGUUAUGAAACGGAAGUCAAAAUGAAACGGUGCUGUUUCGCAUAGCCCUACUAUCCUUCUGAAACAGUGUUGGCAUUCCAGUCAUAAGAGCCAUCCCACCAAUCGAACCAUAGUUUUAUCUCCAGCUGUGAUUUUUAGCUCAUUUUGCUUGUUGUCCAUACGUCUUGCUUUUGCACUCUUGAUAGAGUCCUCAUCCUGAGACUGUCUGUCCAUUGUCCAAAGAAUCCAAAGCUUUCAUGUUGACACCACCCUCUUAGCCACAUGCUUACUUCCAUCACAAUACAAGGCACUCCCUCUCAGAACUUUAGAUGGGAUUUAAAGAGCAUUGUUGGGAAAAACUCAGGGAGUUGAAAUGACUUGGUUAGCUUCUUUAAUGUGCUGUUAUUCAUAGCAGCAUUCCUCAUCUGCCAUUUGGAGUCCCCACAUGAGCCAGAGAACUUUGUUGCAGAAUUUUAUUUCCUAUUGACUUGGGCCUCUACGUUUUAAUUGUUUUUCUGGACCUGUUUAUGUUAAAUGUUUUAUCCUUCCUCUUUCCAGGAUUUCAUUCUAAACCUCUUCUAUAAUGUGAUGCUGUGUUACAAUAGCAGAGCUCUGGGUUUAUCUUGUGAGCCUUAUGUAGGUGUUUUCUUUCCUACAAGCACUCAUAUUGCACAACACCCUAGUUGAGAACCACUUUGUUAGACCAGGGGUGACAAAGAUGUAGUCCAUGAGCUGGAUCCAGCAUGCCAAGCCAUAUUGUCCAGCUCGCACGAUUCCCCACGGGUGUGGAGAUUAGGCACCAGGAGGACUGGUAUUAAUUGCCAGAGUUCCUGGAGCUACAGUAGUUAAUGUUGCUAUUGCUUGUGCUGCUCCAAAAUUUGUAAUUUCCCAAUCCCAUGGGCAGAUGACCCCACUCACAUGCUGGAAUGGCCCAUGGGGCUGUAUGAAUUGAGCACCACUAUAUUAGACUGUUUGGCAAAGACACUAGAAGCUGUAACCUCAUUGCUUAGACAAGUCAGGAAAUUGUCCUAAACCUAAAAGCAAGGUACUCUGUGUGCAUUGGAUUCCCAAACUGCACAAUAAGGAUGACUGAAAACGCACAAGGUAAAAGGACACACAGUACCUUUGUGUCUCUUCUAAAGAACUUAUCCUCUGGCAAGACCAGUCCUUUGCACUUCACUUUUAAGUAUUUAAAUAUUUGAUGUCUGAAUUUUUAACAUGGACUAUUUUAACUAUAUCUUUUGUGUUGGAUAAGUAGGUCACAUUCUCUAGGUGCAUCUACAAAAGGCAUUUACUGUAUAGCUGCCUAAUUAGCUUGGCAGUAAAUAUCUCUGCAUCUACAUGUGCAACCUUUUUAGGUUGUAACAAAGUACUAAACGCUGUGGAAGGUUAGUAUUAGUACUUGUAAAUACAAGUACUAUCUUGUGGCAGAGGUUUUUUUGGAUGUGUUCAAAUCAGCAGGUCCUGACGAUCUCCACCCCAGAGUGUUGAGAGACUUAGCAGAGGUCAUUGCGGGAACCCUGGCACAGCUUUACGAGCACUCAUGGUGCUCUGGCGAGGUGCCAGAGGACUGGAAAAGGGCCAAAGUGGUCCCCAUUUUCAAAAAAGGGAAGGAGGACCCAGGAAAUUGUAGGCCUGUUAGUCUUACCUCGGUCCUGGGGAAGCUCUUUGAGAAAAUUAUCCAGGUGCACAUCUGCGAGGGGUAAGCAGAGGAGUGUAUGCUUAGGGGCAACCAACAUGGGUUCAUUAGAGGCAGGUCCUGUCAGAUCAACCUGGUGGCCUUCUACGACCAGGUCACAAAGUCCUUGGAUGCAGGUGUCGCGGUGGACAUAGUCUUUCUUGGACUUUAGGAAGGCCUUCGCCACUGUCUCUCACCCCAUUCUCAUUAAAAAAACUAGGAAACUGUUGUGUCGAUGCCUACACAGUCAGAUGGAUCAUCAAUUGGCUAGAAGGCCGCACCCAGAGAGUGGUGGUAGAUGGGUCAUUUUCGACCUGGAGGGAUGUGGGCAGUGGGGUCCCCCAGGGCUCGUUCCUCGGGCCCGCACUGUUCAAUAUCUUCAUCAGUGACUUGGAUGAAGGGGUGAAAAGCACCUUGUUCAAAUUCGCAGAUGACACUAUGACGUGGGGAGAAGUGGGCAAGCUAGAAGGGAGGCACAGGCUGCAAUUAGAUCUGGACAGGUCACAGGGGUGGGCAGAUGAGAAUAAGAUGGGAUUAAGUACUAACAAGUGGAGGGUGUUGCACCUAGGGAGAAAGAACCAGCAGCAUACCUACAGGCUGGGGAACUGCCUUCUCAUCAGAUUUUCAUAGAUUUCAUACACGUUAGGGCUGGAAGGGACCUCGGAAGAUCAUCGAGUCCAGCCCCCUGCCCAAAGGGCAGGACGUCAGCUGGGGUCUUAGGAUCCCAGCAAGAUAAGCAUCCAGUUUCAUCUUGAAGGUGUUCAAUGAAGGCGCUUGAACAACCUCCGGCGGCAGGCUGUUCCAGACCUUGGGGGCUCGGACAGUAAAGAAAUUCUUCCUUAUGUCCAGCCUGAAACGAUCUUGUAGUAGUUUGUGACCAUUCGUCCUCGUCAUCCCUUGGGGCGCUCUGGUGAACAAACGUUCCCCCAGAUACUGGUGAUCACCCCUGAUAAACUUGUAGGUGGCCAUCAGAUCACCCCUGAGCCUGCGCUUUUCCAGGCUAAAGAGCCCCAGGGCUCUCAGCCUGUCAUCGUAGGGUCUGCUUCCCUGACCCCUGAUCAUGCGCGUGGCUCUUCUCUGGACUCUCUCAAGCUUCUCCACAUCCUUUUUGAAUUGUGGAGCCCAAAACUGGACGCAGUACUCCAGCUGCGGCCUCACAAAGGCCGAGUACAGGGGGAGAAUGACGUCCCGGGAUUUGCUUGAGAAGCAUCUAUGGAUGCAAGCCAGCGUUUUGGUCGCUUUACUAGCCGCAGCAUCGCAUUGCAGGCUCAUGUUCAUCUUGUGAUCAAUGAUGACCCCCAAGUCUCUUUCUUCCAUAGUGCUAACCAACAUAGCACUGCCUAGCCUAUAAGGAUGCUGCGGGUUUUUCUUCCCAAGGUGGAGAACCUUGCAUUUAUCGGCAUUGAACACCAUCAGAUUUUCAUCUGCCCACUUGCUGAGCCUGUCCAGGUCAGCCUGGAUCACCCGCCUGUCUUCUGGCGUGGAUGCUUUGCCCCAAAGUUUGGUGUCAUUGGUGAACUUGGCCAGUCCGCUUCUGACUCCAGUGUCCACAUCAUUAAUGAAGAUGUUGAACAGUAUGGGUCCAAGGACAGAGCCCUGGGGGACCCCACUGGUCACAGGACACCACGAUGAGUGACUUCCAUCAAUUACUACCCUCUGGGUCCGACCCCGGAGCCAAUUUUCCAGCCAGUGGAUCGUGGGGGACCCAAGGCGACAAUUGGCCAGUUUCUCCAAGAGACGAUCAUGGGACACCAGAUCGAAGGCUUUUUUGAAGUCAAGAUAUAUGAUAUCAAUCUCAUCUCCCUUGUCCAGGUGAUAGGUCACCUGGUCAUAGAAGGAAAUGAGAUUGGUCAAGCAAGACCUACCCGCAACAAAUCCGUGCUGGCUAUCCCUUAAGAUGUUGGCGUCGGCCAGUCCAUUAAGGAUGGCCUCCUUAAUAAACUUUUCUAAGAUCUUCCCCGGGAUAGAAGUCAGGCUGAUGGGCCUAUAGUUAGCCGGAUCCACUUUCCUCCCUUUCUUGAAGAUAGGCACCACGUUGGCCUUCUUCCAGUCUUCGGGCACUACACCAGAGCGCCAAGAGUUUUCAAAGAUCCGCGCUAGAGGCUGGGCUAUGAUGCUCGCCAGCUCCUUGAGUACCCUGGGGUGAAGAUUGUCAGGGCCGGCUGACUUGAAGGUAUCCAGCUUCUCAAGAUGUUCCUUCACAAAGUCAGCAUUAAUGGAGGGCAGGGGAUCACCCUCACCCGGACUUCCCGGCCCUGUAGCAGGCACAGGCGUCCCAUGGGGCUGAUGAAAGACCGACGCAAAGUACCUAUUUAAUAGGUUGGCUUUUUCCUGGGCGUCAGUUGUCAGUUGCCCCAUCUGGUUCAGCAGGGGUCCAACGUUGCCCCUGCUUUUCCUCCGGCUCCCCACAUAUCUGAAAAAGGACUUUUUAUUGUCCUUGAUGCUCAAAGCUAGCUGGAGUUCAGUUGCAGCCUUGGCUUUCCUGGUCUGCUCCCUACAGGACCGGACCAGUGCAGAAUAAUCCUCCUUGGAGGUGACUCCCAUCCUCCAUCCUUUGUAGGCCUUUCUUUUUAGCCUCAGGAGGUCUGCUAGGUCCCUGGAGAGCCAGGGGGGCUGCUGUGCCCUCUUGCUGCCUUUCCUCCGAGAUGGAAUAGACUUAGUUUGUGCAUUGAGGAUCGCUCCCUUGAGGAGCAACCACUCUUCUUGAACUCCCCUCUCCCUGCGGUGAGGUCCCUUAGGGCCUCACUGACAAGCCUCCUGAGCUUGUCAAAGUCGGCUUUCCUGAAGUCAAGGACUUGCGUGUUGCUGACUGACUUGCCAGCUUUUCGGCAGAUGGUGAAGGUGAUCAGCUCGUGGUCGCUGUCACCCAGCUUCCCAUCGAUCACUAGGUCGCCGACUAGGUCCUCCCCAGUAGCCAGCACCAGGUCGAGCAGCGCUUUGCCUCUCGUUGGCCCAUAGACUUCUUGAGUCAGGUAGAGGUCACCCACGCACGAGAGGAAGCUCUGCGACCGCUCAGAUUUUGCUGAGCGAUCCUCCCACGAGAUGUCUGGGUAAUUGAAGUCACCCAUGACAACCAUGGUCCUGGAGCAAGCUGCCUCAGCCAGUUCCUGGGCAAACUCCUGGUCUAGCUCAGGACUUUGGGUGGGAGGUCUGUAAUAGACUCCCACCAUUGUGUCCCCUGUGCCGUGUUCCCCACGGAUUUUAACCCAGAGGGUCUCCAGCCGUCCACCCUGGUCGCCAAUAUCGGCUUGCAGGGACACGUAGCUUUCCUUAACAUAGAGAGCUACACCCCCGCCCCUUUUCUCUACACGAUCCCUCCUGUACAGGGUAUAGCCAUCUAUCCCCGUGGUCCAGUCAUGGGUGGAGUCCCACCAGGUCUCCGUUAUCCCUAUGACAUCGUAAUUGUUUGCACUGAGCAGGAGGAUGAGCUCCUCCUGCUUAUUCCCCAAGCUCCUGGCAUUUGUAUACAGGCAGGCAAGCGCCCCCUGGGGGGCUCCUUCCUUGCCCACAGAUUUUACCAGGGCUGGGGCUGGGGCGGGCUCCCUUAAGUGCCAUGAUCCGCUGGCUUUGCAAGAUUUGCUCAGCGGGCCAGCAGUGGCGGUCGUGCCCCCGUCCCCCAGCGGGCUUAGUUUAAAGCCCGGUGGAGCAGGUCAGCCAGUCUGGCUGAGAAGAGCCUCCUCCCUAGGGGAGAGAGGUGGAAACCAUCUCUUCCCAGCAGCUCGCUGCCUCUCUCGCCAAAGAGCGGGCUGUGGUUAUGAAAGCCAAAGCCUUCCUGAUGACACCAGCGCUGCAGUCUUUGGUUGACCACAUAGAUCCUCCUGUCCCUUCUCAGCCCAUAGCCUGAGACUGGGAGGAUCGACGAGAACACCACCUGUGCCCCCAGACCCUUAAGCCCCGCUCCCAAAUCCCACACAGCACAGAGGCAGAAAAGGAUCUUGGAGUCAUUAUAGACCCCAAGAUGAACAUGGGCUGCCAAUGUGGGGAUGCAGUCAGGAAGGCUAACCGCACCUUGUCAUGCAUCCACAGAUGCAUCACAGGCAGGUCCAAGGAGGUGAUCCUUCCCCUCUAUAUGACAUUGGUCAGGCUGCAGUUGGAGUACUGCGUCCAGUUCUGGGCACUGCACUUCAGGAGGGAUGUGGACAACAUGGAGAGGGUCCAGAGGAGGGCCACUUGCAUGAUCAGGGGGCAGCAGGGCAAGCCUAUGAGGAGAGGCUACGAGACAUGAACCUGUUCAGCCUCCACAAGAGAAGGCUGAGAGGGGAUGUAGUGGCUGUCUAUCAGCUGGCCAAGGGAGACCAGCAGGCAAUGGAAGAGUCCCUUUUCCCCCCCAAGCACUACUGGGAGUAACAAGGAACAAGGAAUAAUGACCAUGACAGAGAGUGGAUUCAGGCUAGAUAUAAGGAGGCACUACUUCACAGUCAGGGUGGCUAGGAUCUGGAACCAACUUUCAAGGGAAGUGGUGCUCGCUCCUACCUUGGGGGUCUUCAAAAAGAGGCUAAACAGUCACCUAGCCGGGGUCAUUUGACCCCAGCAUUCUUUCCUGCCCAUUGCAGGAGGUCGGACUUGAUCUGCUCCGGUCCCUUCCACCCCUACCAACUAUAAAACUAUGAAACCUGGUGGCCUUCUACGACCAGGUCACAAAAGCCUUAGACACAGGUGACGUGUUGAGCGUAGUCUUUCUGGACUCUAGGAAGUCCUUUGACACUGUAUCUCACCCAUUCUCAUUAAAAAACUAGGCGACUUUGGUGUCGAUGCCUACAUGGUCAGAUGGGUUGCUAAUUGCCUGGAGAGCUGCAUCCAGAGGGUGGUGGUGGACAGGUCAUUUUUGACCUGGAGGGAUGUGGGUAGUGGGGUUUCCUAGGGCUCAGUCCUUGGGCCCGCACUGUUCAACCUUUUCAUCAAUGACUUGGAUGAGGGGGUGAAAAGCACCUUGUUCAAAUUUGCAGACGACACUAAGAUGUGGGGAGAAGUGGGCACACUAGAGAAGAGCGACAGGCUGCAAUCAGAUCUGGACAGGUUACAGGGCUGGGUGGAUGAGAACAGGAUGGGUUUCAAUACAGACAAGGGCAAGGUACUGCACCUGGGGAGGAAGAACUAGCAGCAUACCUACAGGCUGGGGAGCUCCCUUCUCAUCAGCACAGAGGCAGAAAAGGAUCUUGGAGUCGUUGACUCCAAGGUGAAUAUGGGCCGACAAUGUGGGGACGCAGUCAGGAAGGCUAACCGCACCCCUUCGUGGAGCACACCCACUAGCCUGGGGGUAACACUGCCACCACCCAGGGAUGGGCUUGAUUCUGGCUCUGUGCACCCUGGGAAACACAGGCCUAGUAGCCCUUGAGGGUACUUGACCCACUUCAAGUACUUGGGGGUGCUUCUCUCAGUCAGAAGCACAAGUAAUGGUCUCCCUUAGUCAGCUGAACCAAGGGGACCUCAAGACAAUCUAGACCCACUCCCAUGCUAGGUACAAAGGAGAACUUUAUUGGUUACAAGGGGUAGGUUUGGAAUAGGGUACAGGGUAGACCAAUAUCAGAGAGCAAACUGGCAUGGCUGGGUAGCUGUUGAUCACGCAUCUGAGUUACUGCAAGCUAUAUAUCUAGUUAGAUCUCAGGUACCUUACUCACAAAUAUCAUCCAGAGGCAGGUGGCGAUUCCGUCUGGAGGCGGCAGUUCCUUGAUCAUGAGUUUUGAGAGAGAGAGCAAGUUCCAGAUGGUCCAGCUUCUCUCUCUCUGAGUCUUCCUCAUGGCUGCUGCCUCUUCCUCCUGGGCAGUCCUUAACUUAUAUAGCCCUUUUGACCUCGUUUACCUGGUCUAAUGGAGGCCAGCACCUGUUGGGUGUCAGCCAACCAAUUUGAAAUGCAUCACUAAUUGCUGGGCAGACUGGUAGUUCCUAGCUUCCCAGGGAGUCCAAGCCCCUCACCCAGGUAUGUGAUGCCAGUCACGUGGGCAGAGGGAGUAGGUUUCCCCUCUCCCUCAGGAAUGUACCCAGCUCAGGUUACCUAAAGAGAUAGGGUAAGGUGUGUACCCUCUGCAGGGCCCAUCUGAACCAAAUUGUCACAGAGCAGAGUUUUUGGGAAGAAACGGAGGUGGCCUUCUGCCACACGGACAGCAUCAAGAGGGUCUAGAGGGGGGCCACUCGCAUGAUCAGGGGGCAGCAAGGCAGGCCCUACAAGGAGAGGCUACAGGACUUGAACCUGCUCAGCUUCCACAAGAGAAGGCUGAGAGGGGAUCUGGUGACUGCCUAUAAAUUGACCAAGGGGGACCAGCAGGCAAUGGGAGAGUCCCUGCUCCCCCGAGCACUACAGGGAGUAACAAGGAAUAAUGGCUAUAAGUUGAUGGAGAGUAGAUUCAGGCUAGAAAUCAGGAGGCACUACUUCACUGUCAGGGUGGCUAGGAUCUGGAACCAACUUCCAAGGGAAGUGGUGCUGGCUCCUACCCUGGGGGUCUUCAAAAGGAGGUUAGAUAAUCACCUUGCCGGGGUCGUCUGACCCCAGCACUCUUUCCUGCCGUGGCAGGGGGUCGGACUUGAUGAUCUGCUCAGGUCCCUUCUGACCCUACCAACUGUGAAACUGUGACAUAGAAGAUGAUCAGAGAGCUAGCUUUUUCUAAUAAUCCUGUAGGGGAGAAAACAUUUAGAUUUGAAAGGGGUGCGUGUAGUAAAAAGGAAAAAUGUACUGUUGGGUUCCAGGACAUGGGUAUACAUAAGUUAACAUGAAAUUAUGUGCUUAUUUUUGUCUCGGUUUAUGUUUCUGUGGUUUUUAAAAAUGCUUUAUUAUUUCAAGUAAUGGAAUAAAGAUUGGCUUAUAACA